AAAGUGAAUUAGCACUAAAAGGUGGUUCACCCAGGGCGAGGCUCAGUCAUUGCAYUGUCAGUUGUGCUGACUCCUGUGAAUUCCCCAAAUGCGGAAAUUUCAACUGCUUAAUUUGUUGUCUUUUUGGAAAAACAAUCAAAC
rnacentral:snRNA from 1 species